UACGUAGGGCGCAAGCGUUGUCCGGAAUUAUUGGGCGUAAAGAGCUCGUAGGCGGCCUGUUGCGUCCGCUGUGAAAUCCCGGGGCUCAACCCCGGGCCUGCAGUGGAUACGGGCUGGCUAGAGGCAGGCAGGGGAGAACGGAAUUCCUGGUGUAGCGGUGAAAUGCGCAGAUAUCAGGAGGAACACCGGUGGCGAAGGCGGUUCUCUGGGCCUGUACUGACGCUGAGGAGCGAGAGCGUGGGGAGCGAACAGG
rnacentral:rRNA from 1 species